CAUCUAAGCGGGAAGCCUGCUUCGAGAUGAGGGCUCCCUCCCACUUGAUGGGGUAAGGCUCCCAGUAGACGACUGGGUUGAUAGGCCAGAUAUGGAAGCGCCGUAAGGUGUGGAGUUGACUGGUACUAAUAGGCCGAGGGCUUGUCCUCAGUUG
rnacentral:rRNA from 4 species